GACAAGUCAAUUACCAGGGCAGGCAGAAACAUAGCAGGGGUAGGGUCGUACCUGGCCGCCGGUGAGGCACCGGAGGAGGAUGCAGGCGAGGGAGGAGGCCAGCAGCUGGGCCACCACGUACAGCACCGCCCGGAACGCCGUGAUGUGCCCGCGCGCCAGCAGCGCCACCGUCACCGCCGGGUUGAGGUGCCCGCCGGAGACAUGGAACCCCGCCGUCACCAACACCCCCGCCGCCAGCGCCUGCGCAAGCGCAACCCCGGCCAAC
rnacentral:lncRNA from 1 species